CCUUCGGUAGCUCAGUUGGUAGAGCGGUGGACUGUAGAGGAAACCGAAUGAUGUAGACAUCCAUAGGUCGCUGGUUCAAAUCCGGCCCGAAGGA
rnacentral:tRNA from 1 species